UACGUAGGGGGCGAGCGUUGUCCGGAAUCAUUGGGCGUAAAGAGCUCGUAGGCGGUUCAGUAAGUCAGGUGUGAAAGCUCCGAGCUCAACUCGGAGAGGCCACCUGAUACUGCUGUGACUAGAAUCCAGUAGGGGAGUGUGGAACUCCUGGUGUAGCGGUGAAAAUGCGCAGAUAUCAGGAGGAACACCGAUGGCGAAGGCAGGCCUCUGGGCAUUAAACUGACGCUGGAGGAGCGAAAAGCGUGGGGAGCGAACAGG
rnacentral:rRNA from 1 species